UGGGGAAUUUUGGACAAUGGGCGAAAGCCUGAUCCAGCAAUGCCGCGUGUGUGAAGAAGGCCUUCGGGUUGUAAAGCACUUUUGUCCGGAAAGAAAUCCUUGGCUCUAAUACAGUCGGGGGAUGACGGUACCGGAAGAAUAAGCACCGGCUAACUACGUGCCAGCAGCCGCGGUAAUACGUAGGGUGCAAGCGUUAAUCGGAAUUACUGGGCGUAAAGCGUGCGCAGGCGGUUUGCUAAGACCGAUGUGAAAUCCCCGGGCUCAACCUGGGAACUGCAUUGGUGACUGGCAGGCUAGAGUAUGGCAGAGGGGGGUAGAAUUCCACGUGUAGCAGUGAAAUGCGUAGAGAUGUGGAGGAAUACCGAUGGCGAAGGCAGCCCCCUGGGCCAAUACUGACGCUCAUGCACGAAAGCGUGGGGAGCAAACAGGAUUAGAUACCCUGGUAGUCCACGCCCUAAACGAUGUCAACUAGUUGUUGGGGAUUCAUUUCCUUAGUAACGUAGCUAACGCGUGAAGUUGACCGCCUGGGGAGUACGGUCGCAAGAUUAAAACUCAAAUGAAUUGACGGGGUCAUAGC
rnacentral:rRNA from 1 species